ACGGGUGAGUAACACGUAGGCAACCUGCCCUCAAGCUUGGGACAACUACCGGAAACGGUAGCUAAUACCGAAUACAUGAUUUGUUCGCCUGAACGAAUCUGGAAAGACGGAGCAAUCUGUCACUUGAGGAUGGGCCUGCGGCGCAUUAGCUAGUUGGUGAGGUAACGGCUCACCAAGGCGACGAUGCGUAGCCGACCUGAGAGGGUGAUCGGCCACACUGGGACUGAGACACGGCCCAGACUCCUACGGGAGGCAGCAGUAGGGAAUCUUCCGCAAUGGACGCAAGUCUGACGGAGCAACGCCGCGUGAGUGAUGAAGGUUUUCGGAUCGUAAAGCUCUGUUGCCAGGGAAGAACGUCCGGGUUAGUAACUGAACCCGGAGUGACGGUACCUGAGAAGAAAGCCCCGGCUAACUACGUGCCAGCAGCCGCGGUAAUACGUAGGGGGCAAGCGUUGUCCGGAAUUAUUGGGCGUAAAGCGCGCGCAGGCGGCUUUUUAAGUCCGGUGUCACAGCCCAAGGCUCAACCUUGGGUCGCACUGGAAACUGGAGAGCUUGAGUACAGAAGAGGAAAGUGGAAUU
rnacentral:rRNA from 1 species